rnacentral:rRNA from 1 species
GACGAACGCUGGCGGCGUGCUUAACACAUGCAAGUCGAACGGAAAGGCCCUGCUUUUGUGGGGUGCUCGAGUGGCGAACGGGUGAGUAACACGUGAGUAACCUGCCCUUGACUUUGGGAUAACUUCAGGAAACUGGGGCUAAUACCGGAUAGGAGCUCCUGCUGCAUGGUGGGGGUUGGAAAGUUUCGGCGGUUGGGGAUGGACUCGCGGCUUAUCAGCUUGUUGGUGGGGUAGUGGCUUACCAAGGCUUUGACGGGUAGCCGGCAUGAGAGGGUGACCGGGCACAUGAGGACUGAGGUACGGACCAGAAUCCUACGGGAGGCAGCAGGGGAGAAUAUUGCACAAUGGGGGGAAGCCUGAUGCAGCGACGCCGCGAGCGGGAUAACGGCCUUCGGGUUGUAAACCGCUUUCGCAUGUGACGAAGCGUGAGUGACGGUAAUGGGUAAAGAAGCACCGGCUCCCUACGUG